rnacentral:rRNA from 1 species
AACGAACGCUGGCGGCAGGCUUAACACAUGCAAGUCGAACGCAUCCUUCGGGGUGAGUGGCAGACGGGUGAGUAACGCGCGGGAACGUGCCCUUCAGUUCGGAAUAACCCAGGGAAACUUGGGCUAAUACCGGAUACGUGCGAGAGCAGAAAGAUUUAUCGCUGAAGGAUCGGCCCGCGUCUGAUUAGCUAGUUGGUGAGGUAAUGGCUCACCAAGGCGACGAUCAGUAGCUGGUCUGAGAGGAUGAUCAGCCACAUUGGGACUGAGACACGGCCCAAACUCCUACGGGAGGCAGCAGUGGGGAAUAUUGGACAAUGGGCGCAAGCCUGAUCCAGCCAUGCCGCGUGAGUGAUGAAGGCCUCAGGGUUGUAAAGCUCUUUCGUCCGGGACGAUAAUGACGGUACCGGAAGAAGAAGCCCCGGCUAACUUCGUGCCAGCCGCCGCGGUAAUAC